UUCAGGUGGUUCAGCAUCCAAUCAGGAUCCUCCUGGACUCCUUCCUGUGGAGGUUUUCUGGGCUAGUAAACUGGUAUCUGAAGGGUAUCUCAUGUGGCCUAGUUAUACCUCAGAUUCCCCAUGAGGAGCUGGAGGACAGUGCUGAAGAGAUGGACAACAGUGUUUAACUUGCUGCCACUGAGAUGCGGCCCAGCGAUGAUGCAGAAGAUGCUGUCGAAGAUGUGUAAAGAGGCGGGGACAACAGCUAUCUACACCAAUCACAGCCUCAGGGCGACUGCCAUACAGAAGCUGUCAGAUGUGGAUCUUGAAGCGAGGGAGAUCAUGACAGUGAGUGGGCACAGCUACUGGAAGCCAUCCUUGGAGAACAGAAAACGACGGAGCAACAUACUGUCAGAUCAGACGGCAGAGUCGGCUGUGCCUGUGAAGUGACAGUCCACCACGCAGUCACCAGAGACUUAUUUCACCGGCUGCACAAUUACAGUUUUUCUUGAUUGUUUACACACAUUUUCUGAAAGCAUGCCUCAUACUCUCAGAACUCUACACACAAAUCAAAACACACACACACACAAUGGGCAAAACCCCUCAAUUCUCCUGCAAAAUGAAACUUUACAUUCAAAACAAUGUUAUUUCUUCUCAAAAUGGUAUUUUGUUUUCAAAUGACACACACAAACCAUCAUAUGAAUAGACAUUUAUAAGAACCAGUUGAACACUGAUGUGCUCAAUGUAAAACACUAUGAUGAAUGGAAAACACUUCUUCUCCAUUCAUCAUAAUGACUUAGGCCUUUUUUUGUUCAGUGUUACACUUACUACAGGCAGUACAUACAUAAGUGUGAUGUAAAACAUUUUAGAAUAUUGUUUUUAUACUCAGAACACACAAAUACACGGUAACAAAUAUAUUUUAUUUUUCCCACAAAAACAGUGUACACAGUGUACAUUCCAACCAACACAAAGUUGCACAUACAGUGGUCUACAUACAAAACAACAGAUGAAUUUACUGUAUACAGUUACAGUAAAAAAACAAAACAAAACUAUGCUGCCACAUGGUCAACCAAAGUGGCUCGGAUCUCAUCAGAGAUUACGGUCCUUGGCCUUCCUCGUCCUCGUCCUCCCCAUCCUCCUCCUCUUACUCUCACUCCUCUGGCUCUGGCUCUGUUUCCAACGUUGGCAUCCAUUGCUCCAAAACAGAAAAGCUCACCUGUUGCCCUUUUAUGCUAAAGCUCUGAUUGCUAAUUGUAAAACUGUGUGACAGGUGUUUGUCCGUGUGAUGAGUCAGUGUGCGUAGUAGGGCAAUUAACUUUAGAAUUUUGAAUGACAGUGUGUUCCUUGUGAAAACAAGAGAUUUUCUUCAUGAAAAUUGUGCCAAAUGCAGAGAAUUGUGUGCAGUGUUUUGAAAAAAAGUGUGUUUUAGAACUGCAAUUUGAGUUUAAAGCAGGAAUUGUGCUUGUAGUUUAGCAGAAUUGGUUCAGGGAGUUGGUGCAUGAGUUACAUGUUGUGGUCAUUCUGUCUCAAGUACCAGUAUUUGUGUGUAAACAAUUGAGAAAAACUGUAAUGGAAAUGUGCAGAUAAAUGUGUAUAAAGAGUAAGUGCCUGGCGCACCAUGUCUGCGUUACAUAGCAAUGGUGACAGCGUAGUCCUGAGGGAACUGUUUUUGUUGGCGGAAGACAAAUAAAAUACUUAAAUGAUCUAUUUUGUCCUCAUUGUUCAACAUUUCUUUAUCAGCCUUGCUUAUUUAACUGUUGAACUGUUGUAUAAAGGCAAUAUCACACUCGAGCUCGUGAUGUUGUACUCGUAUAUCGUCACGGCUGUGAUUUGGUCAUAGGAAGACAAUCAGACGAUAUACGAGUACAACAUUACUCCCUCUCGUGUGAUAUUGCUUAAGUAUAGUGAAGUAUAAUCAUGUGUAGUGAAGUUAUGUGAUGUGUAGUGAAGUAUAGUGAUGUG